rnacentral:rRNA from 1 species
GCGGCGUGCCUAACACAUGCAAGUCGAGCGAAGCGCUGUUUUCAGAAUCUUCGGAGGAAGAGGACAGUGACUGAGCGGCGGACGGGUGAGUAACGCGUGGGUAACCUGCCUCGUACAGGGGGAUAACAGUUAGAAAUGACUGCUAAUACCGCAUAAGACCACAGCACCGCAUGGUGCAGGGGUAAAAACUCCGGUGGUAUGAGAUGGACCCGCGUCUGAUUAGCUAGUUGGUAAGGUAACGGCUUACCAAGGCGACGAUCAGUAGCCGACCUGAGAGGGUGACCGGCCACAUUGGGACUGAGACACGGCCCAAACUCCUACGGGAGGCAGCAGUGGGGAAUAUUGCACAAUGGGGGAAACCCUGAUGCAGCGACGCCGCGUGAGCGAAGAAGUAUUUCGGUAUGUAAAGCUCUAUCAGCAGGGAAGAAAAUGACGGUACCUGACUAAGAAGCACCGGCUAAAUACGUGCCAGCAGCCGCGGUAAUACGUAUGGUGCAAGCGUUAUCCGGAUUUACUGGGUGUAAAGGGAGCGUAGACGGAUGGGCAAGUCUGAUGUGAAAACCCGGGGCUCAACCCCGGGACUGCAUUGGAAACUGUAUGGCUAGAGUGCUGGAGAGGCAAGCGGAAUUCCUAGUGUAGCGGUGAAAUGCGUAGAUAUUAGGAAGAACACCAGUGGCGAAGGCGGCUUGCUGGACA